rnacentral:lncRNA from 1 species
GAAAUUAAUACACAUAAUUAAUUAUAUCGCAAACUUCAAUUGUUGGAAUUUUAUGAUCCUGUAAAAGAAUAUAGAUAUAUUUCACCCAAUCUUCAUAUUAUUUUGUUUCAAAAGAUGUAAAGGUUAUUUUGAGAGAUUCUCCCAACUUUUGGUUGAGCCCUAAACCCACCGGUGACUUGUUUCCUUCUGGAAGGUGCAACACUCAAACUAGCGAUGAAGUAGACCAACAGCAGAUGGCUGUAUCUGUGUGUUUCCAGCUUCAAUAUGUAGCUGGUCUCAGGACGCUUCCUAAAUGGUGCCAUAUUCUCUAUAUAGUGCACUUCUUUUGAUCAGGGCCCAUAGAUAAUAGGAUGCUAUUUGGGACUCCACCUCAGUGAUUAAAUCUGCUCUGGUGUUUACAGGCCUCAUCACACACAGUCAGAUUAAAGGUGUUUACAGGCCUCAUCACACACAGUCAGAUUAAAGGUGUUUACAGGCCUCAUCACACAUUCAGAUUAAAGGUGUUUACAGGCCUCAUCACACACAGUCAGAUUAAAGGUGUUUACAGGCCUCAUCACAUUCAGAUUAAAGGUGUUUACAGGCCUCAUCACACAGUCAGAUUAAAGGUGUUUACAGGCCUCAUCACACAGUCAGAUUAAAGGUGUUUACAGGCCUCAUCACACAGUCAGAUUAAAGGUGUUUACAGGCCUCAUCACAGUCAGAUUAAAGGUGUUUACAGGCCUCA